rnacentral:rRNA from 1 species
AAUAGAUACCCAGGUAGUCCACGCCGUAAACGUUGGGAACUAGAUGUAGGGACCAUUCCACGGUUUCUGUGUCGCAGCUAACGCAUUAAGUUCCCCGCCUGGGGAGUACGGCCGCAAGGCUAAAACUCAAAGGAAUUGACGGGGGCCCGCACAAGCGGCGGAGCAUGCGGAUUAAUUCGAUGCAACGCGAAGAACCUUACCAAGGCUUGACAUACACGAGAACGGGCCAGAAAUGGUCAACUCUUUGGACACUCGUGAACAGGUGGUGCAUGGUUGUCGUCAGCUCGUGUCGUGAGAUGUUGGGUUAAGUCCCGCAACGAGCGCAACCCUCGUUCUAUGUUGCCAGCACGUAACGGUGGGAACUCAUAGGAGACUGCCGGGGUCAACUCGGAGGAAGGUGGGGAUGACGUCAAAUCAUCAUGCCCCUUAUGUCUUGGGCUUCACGCAUGCUACAAUGGCCGAUACAAAGGGCUGCAAUGCCGCAAGGUGGAGCGAAUCCCAAAAAGUCGGUCUCAGUUCGGAUUGAGGU